rnacentral:rRNA from 1 species
GGCUCGGUUGAGAGGCCGGCCCGUGGGCGUUAGCGGGUCCUCGCUGUUGGCUGGAAUGUCCCGUUCUCGUGGUUUCGGUCGUCUGAUUGUUAACACUCCCCACCCGUUGGUGGGAGUUGGCCUCUGAUGGUCGGGGCCGGGCAUUCCCCUCCCCCUUUUGCUCCGUCUUUGGGGCAUCUGGGGCCGCUUUUUCCAUAAAGCACGUUGAGAAACAUGAAUUUUAGGGGCUGAGCCUUGGGGCCCUUGUUGCCUUCGGGUGACGGGGCCUGAGUCAUAAACCAAAGUAACGACUCUCAGCAACGGAUAUCUUGGCUCUUGCAACGAUGAAGAACGCAGCGAAAUGCGAUACCUAGUGUGAAUUGCAGAAUUCCGCGAAUCAUCGAGUCUUUGAACGCAAGUUGCGCCCGAGGCUUGUCCCGAGGGCAUGCCUGCCUGAGCGUCACCGCACUCCCACCUGGACACUCUCCAGUGUGGAACUGGCCGUCCGGGAGCUUUGGCCCACAUGGGCUUUGGGUCGUGGUUGGCUGAAAUGUAACUAUCUGGGCGUGGCCGAAGAGAGGGGUCGCGAGAAGGUGAUUCGCUCCAUGUGGGGCGGAGUCUUAUUGGACAGCACCUCUGCCUUCGGCAGUCCCGGAUGGUGGCACUCGCGUGUCAUUUGGGGAGUUGCAACUUAGUGCUGCACCUCCCUGCCUUACGGCUUGGACCUCAGAUCAGGCAAGAUUACCCGCUGAGUUUAAGCAUAUCAC